rnacentral:lncRNA from 1 species
CAAAUGUCCAUCAACAGAUGAUUGGAUCAGGAAGAUGUGGGGUAUAUAUAUAUAUACACACACACACACACAUACAUACAAUGGAAUACUACUCAGCCAUUAAAAAGAACAAUUAUUUGCAGCAACACCGAUGGAACUAGAGACUCUCAUCCUGAGUGAAGUAAGUCAGAAAGAGACAAAUACCAUAUGAUAUCACUUAUAUCUAGAAUCUAAUAUAUGGCACAAAUGAACAAUUCCACAGGAAAGAAAAUCAUGGACUUGGAGAAUAGACUUAUGGUUGCCAAGCGGGAGGGAGUGGGAUGGAUGGGAUGCUUGCCUUUGGAAUGGAUUAUCAAUGAGAUCCUGCUGUGUAGCACUAGGAACUAUGUCUAGCCACUUGUGCUGGAGCAUGGUAAUGUGAGAAAAAAGACUGUAUACAUGUAUGUGUAACUGGGUCACCAUGCUGUACAGUGGAAAAUUGACAGAAAACUGUAAACCAGCUAUAAUGGAAAAAAAUAAAAAUCAUUAUAUAUGUAUAAAAAAGAGACCCUUGUUUUUAUAGAUUGAGGUUGUGAAAUGAUUUUUAAAUAUUUGUCUCUUCUGGUAUUAUAAAUAUUAUAUGCUGUAUACAAUGUAAUAUUUCUUUGAUAGUUAAGAAUCUUACAAAACUUCAGGGUCACUGAAAUGGCAGUUUUCAUUAUAUAACACUAGGAAGAUAAAUACAGAUAUGGGAGGUUGAACUGAGUGAGUGCUGUCUCCAGGACAUUGCAUGGAAGCUAUGUUUUCUCUUUUAAUAAAAAGCUCUUGGGUAAGAGGUUUUUUUAUUUCUGAUUUGCCUUUUUCUGCUAAAAAAUGAAGUGUAGAAAUCAAAUAUGAUUGAUUUAAUGAAUACUUAACUGGGCACUACCAAUUGGGAUUCAACUAACCUUUUUUAAGUCUUUUAUAUGCGAAGGACUAUGCUAGACCCUUUUGUAUGUGUAAAACUCUUCAAAGAUUGCAAAAGCUCCAUGCAAAGUGAAGGCAGUUCCUCAAAUUACAGGGAAGGUAGCAUGUUCAGAGAGUAAAACAAGCUGGUUAAGCAACUCUAUAUUUAAUAUUAGUGGUAGAUGGAUGGCUUAAUCUUAGGUCUCCAGUCUCCAGAGUAGAGUUGUCUCCAUUACAACAAGCAACAUUUACAUGUACCAUGUACCACAUGUUCAUUUGUAUCUAGCAAUCAAUUAGGAGACAGAAAGGCAAAAGUAUAAUAAGGGAAGCAAGUUUAUGUGCAAGGUACUAUAUGCCCAGUAAUUUUCUAAGCAUAUUAUGUAUUAUGACGUAUUUAAUCUUCUGGAAGGUUAAGAGAUAGGUAAUAGAACUUUUUACUAAAGAAAAUAAGUACAUAUAAUAUAAUGAUGUAGCUUCCUAAAUGUAUUUGUUUCCAGAUUCUGUGUUCUUAAUGACUAUGCUCUGUUGCCUCCAGCUAUAACACAGUUUGUUAAAUGAGAUAUUGACAGACUCAUUUUUAAUUAAUUUAUUUUGUCUUUCAUCUUUUUAGGGCUGCACCUACAGCAUAUGGAGGUUCCCAGGCUCAGGAUCUGCUGCCAGCCUAUGCCAGAGCCACAGCAAUGCCAGAUCCAAGCCAUGUCUGCGACCUACACCACAGCUCAUGGCAAUGCCAGAUCCUUAACCCACUGAGUGAGGCCAGGGAUCAAACCCACGUCCUCACGGUUCCUUGUCAGAUUCGUUUCUGCUGCACCACGACGGGCGUUCGUUAUUGACAGACUCUUAAAAGCAUUUUAAAACAAAAAUGUAGAGACAAGCCAAACCUAUUGGAGCAAAGUGUUUACUUAGAAAAGGUGAUCUGUGUUCUGACCCAUGGAGGAUGGGUAAGGUAGAACCAAGGUACAGGGGAGGAAAAGAGUGGAGGUUAUCUAAGGACUGAGGAAGAGGGAAGAGUUAGAGGUUAUUAGUUUUGUCAACUGAAUGAAUAUAUAAUGUUACAGCUCACAAAAAUAUGAAUUAACUUAAAAGGACCAGAAUUAGCUAUAGCUAAGUCUUCUUGAAUGCAAUAUUCCUGAUAUAUUCUCAAUAUUUUAGAGUUAAGAUAAUCAUCAUGCCCAUUUUGAUGCUUUGAUUUUAUUAAGGAUACCCGUUGACAUUUACAUUUUUGAUGGGCAUAUCACAUAAUUGCUUCAUACUAAAACUAUUGUCAGUAGGAAUCUCAGAGAUCUCAUUCAUAAGUUUUCAUUCAAAGACCUGUCUUUGCUGCCAUAUUUUUAAUACAAUCGUACUUUUGGACUCAGCCUUAGUAUUUCUUCUUUGUUAGGUGUGAGGUAACUUUUAGGUUUUCAAGACCCCUUACUUUUUCUUCCCAGGUCUUCAUCCAAAUCUGCUGACUUCUUGUGUAAAAUGCAUAUGGGUGGCUUCAGUGUUCAUAGCACUGAACAUGGGUAAUGUUUAAUACGGGUAUUAAAAAAACCCCAUAAUUCUACCGAAGUUAAAAUUCUGCAGCUUACUACUAGAAACUUUGCUUUAGAAAAGAACCUCCACAUUUUUAAACAUAAGAGAAUGGGACCUUAACCUACUGCUACACUGAAUAAUUGUACUAAAAUUCUCCAUGUGGACUCCAAUGAAAUCAUGAAAAAAGGUAAUGACGUAUAGUGAGAUCAUAUCAUAUGUUUCCCCUAUUUCCUGUCUAGCAUGUCUGUCAGAGAAAGAAAUUGGAUUAUUUUGAAAUGACUUUUCAAAUGUGAUAUAGACUCAGGUGACCCCACUAUUUUCUUUCCAUCCUGGUCUACUCAUCUCUUAAAAAAUCUCCUGGAGUUCCCGUCGUGGCACAGUGGUUAACGAAUCUGACUAGGAACCAUGAGGUUGCGGGUUCGAUCCCUGGCCUUGCUCAGUGGGUUAAGGAUCCAGUGUGCUGUGAGCUGUGAGGUAGGUUGCAGAUGCGGCUUGGAUCCUGCGUUGCUGUGGCUCUGACAUAGGCCAGUGGCUACAGCUCCCAUUAGACCCCUAGCCUGGGAACCUCCAUAUGCCGUGGGAGUGGCACUAGAAAAG